rnacentral:rRNA from 1 species
UACGUAGGGUGCAAGCGUUAAUCGGAAUUACUGGGCGUAAAGCGUGCGCAGGCGGUUAUGUAAGACAGUUGUGAAAUCCCCGGGCUCAACCUGGGAACUGCAUCUGUGACUGCAUAGCUAGAGUACGGGUAGAGGGGGAUGGAAUUCCGCGUGUAGCAGUGAAAUGCGUAGAUAUGCGGAGGAACACCGAUGGCGAAGGCAAUCCCCUGGACCUGUACUGACGGCUCAUGC